CUCGUAGGCGGUUCGUCGCGUCCGGUGUGAAAGUCCAUCGCUUAACGGUGGAUCUGCGCCGGGUACGGGCGGGCUGGAGUGCGGUAGGGGGAGACUGGAAUUCCCGGUGUAACGGUGGAAUGUGUAGAUAUCGGGAAGAACACCAAUGGCGAAGGCAGGUCUCUGGGCCGUUACUGACGCUGAGGAGCGAAAGCGUGGGGAGCGAACA
rnacentral:rRNA from 1 species